rnacentral:lncRNA from 1 species
GAGUCUUCAUCCAUUUGAUCCCAGCAGAGGUGCCACUCUUCACCUUCUGAGCACCCACCACAGCAGCUGUCUUAGCUUUGUCAGCACCCACAGCUGCUGCUGCCUUGGCCUUUUCCAUCCCGGCUGCCAUCUUCUUGCUGCUGCUGCCUCCGCCACUAAUGCUCUUCUUCGCCUUGUCAUCUUCCACAUGCUCCUCGUUCCCAAAAGCACCCGCUCCCCAUUGAUCAGACCAACUCGGUGCCUUGUUGCUCCCCAUGAUUGAUUUCCCUCCUUUUACCUGCAGAAAAAUUUAAAAUCUUCACUGAUUCUAAUCACUAAUCAGUGCAUGUUCGGAAAUCUUUCUAGAAUUGAUUCUAAAGCCAAAAUCAAUUUUAGGGAGAAACUUAUGUGAGUCUCUCCUUAGUUCUUAGUGCCAGAAUUGAUUCAAAUCACUUAUCAAUGCAUGUUUGGAAAUUCAUCUAGCUUUUGAUUCUAAAGUCAAAAUCAAUUAUGGGGAGAAGGCGAGAAGCUAAGUAUCUUCUAAAUGCCAGAAUUGAUUCUAAUCAUGUAUCAAUGCAUGUUUGGAAAUCGUUCUAGAAUUGAUUCUAAAGUCAUAAUAAAUUACAUGAAGAAGCUAAGUAGCUUCUUUAUGUCAGAAUUGAUGCUAAUCACUUAUACAUGCAUGUUUGGAAAUCCCUCUAGAAUUGAUUCUACUGCCAAAAACAAUUCUAGGGUGAAACUUAUCUUAGUAGCUUAUUGAUGUCACAAAGAAAACAGAAGCUAAUACAAACAUCCUAAACAUGCUAUCAAAGCAAAUUAACAAACAAAACAACAACAAAACAUAAAGAGACAAAAAGGUAGGCGGAAACAUUCACAAAAUCGCAUCUAAUCCAAGUCGCACAAGGUCAAUAAUGCCAAACACACAUGUUUGGUUUCAAUUGACACAGUUAAUUAAUCAAUGUGACAAUCCAAAGCAAGAAAAAUAACAUUUGGGAUUUUUGAAUUAACAAGAUUUGGGUACACACCCACCCACAAGAUCUCUAGAUGAAUCCAAAGCAAAGUUUGAAGAGUUUAUUGAAAAAAAUCAAAACUUUUUGCUCAAUAGAUAAGAAUCAGAAAGACCCAGUUGUUAAAUGGAGUAAAUUGCACAUAAUUGUUGAAAAAAUAGGGCAAAAUUUCAUUUUUAUGUAUCUAUACAAAGACAGAGUGAGAUCGUAUAAAAGGGCAAGGAAGGUUCAGAUUGCUUGCAUGUUUGCUCGUACCUUGUUGUUGGUUGAUGAGGAUUGAGGAAGAAGAAGAUGGAGAUUUGAUUUGAGUUUGAGGGAGAGAAGGCAACAACGGGUUGAAACUCCAACAAAUGGAAUGAAGUGAAGUGAAAGGGAGGACAAGUCUUUGUUUUAUA